CGCAGGAGCUGAGGACUGGGCUGCGGUGAGCUGCCGUUUCCUAACUAAAACGAUCACUUCCAGACCUUGAUACGUUUAGGGAAAUUCUCACUGGCAUCGUCUCCACCGAGGGGAGAACGUCAACAUGGACCAGGUCACAGCUUAGAUGCUUGGCAGGGUGUGCUGAGCUCCGGAACCUUCCCUGCAGGUGUGACAUUCCCCUCCCAAGACGGGCUGUGCGAAAACACUCAGGCCCAUCUGUUAACCUGCGCGGUGCCGGCUGGACGGACUCCUCAGGCCCUGCCCCAGCCCCGGCCACACGUAAGGGGCGAGAGGGGCUCUCCGGCGAGGCGGGAAACGCAGGCGUUUUGUUGAAUUUCACAUCUCCCUCCAAACCCACGGACACACGGCGUGUGCUGCACUGGCGUCAGAGCUGGAAAGCGGCACCUUCGUGGGGCGAGAGGGGGGCGCACCUGUCACACGCAGGAGGUGAGGGCCAGGCUCACCGCGGCCCGUCAGCGACUCCACAGGGGAGCCAGAGAGUGAAAACUUCGCCAAAACACUACGAUCUCAUGAUUUUGUUAUAAAACCAUGGCACCUGCUGCCAUUUCACGAGCACCCACCCUGUGUGGGCUCUUUAAGUGAAGUUUUUUUCUUUUGAUGUGUAUUUAUUUUUGAGAGGGGGAGGGGCAGAGAGAGAGACACAGAAUCCGAAGCAGCUCCUGGCUCUGUCAGCACAGAGCCCGACACGGGGCUCGAACUCACGAACCCAUGAACCGAGCUAUCACCUGGCCACGCGGAGCACCUGUUCUCAGACAUCCAGCCUCCGGAACGGUGAGAAGCGGCCGCAGUUGACAGUCCUGGGGCCGUGGCGCUCUGUUAGCCCUAGAGGAUGAGGACCUGGCUUUCUAGCUCCUUCCACGAGGCGAUGGGCUGCUCGGAGGAGCCGGCCAGUCUCUGCUGUUCUGUCACCUUCCGCCCAGAAGCCAGGCCCCUCGCACCCCCACCCUGCAGGAUCUGCCCCAGCCUGUGCUUUCCUGCACCUGUUGGGAGACUGCAAUUCCAGGUGCUCAUGAAGUACUGUAACUCCUUCUGUUCUUGUUCUUGUGCGGGGGGAAGGGGGUAUUUUUUUCUUUUCAGUUUUGUUGGGAUCUAUGUAAACCUCAGGUGUACGGCAUGACGUGAUCCGCGAACACACUGUGAAGUGAUCACCACGGGGUGAGCCAGCACGUCCAUCGCGUUGCUGAGUUGCUAUUUCUCUGUGUGCCGAGCACACGGAGGGUCCCCGUGGCCGCCGGGCUGCACGCUAGGUCCCCGGGACUCAUUUGUAUCCAAACGGACAUCUGUACCACUUGACCGUCGUUUCCCGUCCCCUCACCCCCCCACCCCCCGCAAAGUUCUGGGAGUUCGGCUCGUUUAGCUCCACGUGUAGGUGAGAACACGCAGCUCUUGUCUGGCUGGCUGGCUUCUCUCUCCCUCGAGCUCCAUCCACGUUGCGACAAAUGGCUGAUCUGCCAUUUGGGGUCUUCUGUGGUUCUGCAUGAACCUCGGGAUUGUUUUUCCAUUUCUAAGAAAAAUGCCCUUGGAGUUUUUCACAAGGACCUCGUUGAAUCUACGGAUGACUUUGGGAAGUGUGGACACAGUAACUAUAUUAAUCCUUCCCAUUCCCGAGCACAAGAGAUCUCGCCAUUUCCCCGUGUCCACUUCAAUGACUUUUAUCGAUGUCCCGUAAUUUUCAGUAUGCAGAUCUUUUACCACCUUGCUUAAAUUUACUCCGAAGUAUUUAUUUUUGAUGCUAUUGUGAAUAAGAUUGUCUAAAAAAAAUUUUGUUAAGCAGGAUCCAUGCCCAUUG